AGAGUUUGAUCCUGGCUCAGGAUGAACGCUAGCUACAGGCUUAACACAUGCAAGUCGAGGGGCAGCAUUGUCAUAGCAAUAUGACAGAUGGCGACCGGCGCACGGGUGAGUAACACGUAUCCAACCUGCCUUCCACUCGGGAAUAGCCUUUCGAAAGAAAGAUUAAUGCCCGAUGGCACUGAAAGAGGUCAUCCUUUUUCAGUUAAAGAAUUUCGGUGGAAGAUGGGGAUGCGUUCCAUUAGCUUGUUGGCGGGGUAACGGCCCACCAAGGCAUCGAUGGAUAGGGGUUCUGAGAGGAAGGUCCCCCACAUUGGAACUGAGACACGGUCCAAACUCCUACGGGAGGCAGCAGUGAGGAAUAUUGGUCAAUGGGCGAGAGCCUGAACCAGCCAAGUAGCGUGAAGGAUGACUGCCCUAUGGGUUGUAAACUUCUUUUAUAAGGGAAUAAAACGGGCCACGUGUGGCCUUUUGCAUGUACCUUAUGAAUAAGGAUCGGCUAACUCCGUGCCAGCAGCCGCGGUAAUACGGAGGAUCCGAGCGUUAUCCGGAUUUAUUGGGUUUAAAGGGAGCGCAGACGGGGUCUUAAGUCAGUUGUGAAAGUUUGCGGCUCAACCGUAAAAUUGCAGUUGAUACUGGGGCUCUUGAGUGCAGUAUAGGCAGGCGGAAUUCGUGGUGUAGCGGUGAAAUGCUUAGAUAUCACGAAGAACUCCGAUUGCGAAGGCAGCCUGCUGGACUGUAACUGACGUUCAUGCUCGAAAGUGCGGGUAUCAAACAGGAUUAGAUACCCUGGUAGUCCGCACAGUAAACGAUGAAUACUCGCUGUUGGCGAUACACAGUCAGCGGCCAAGCGAAAGCGUUAAGUAUUCCACCUGGGGAGUACGCCGGCAACGGUGAAACUCAAAGGAAUUGACGGGGGCCCGCACAAGCGGAGGAACAUGUGGUUUAAUUCGAUGAUACGCGAGGAACCUUACCCGGGCUUGAAUUGCAGAGGAAUAUGUAGGAAACUAUAUAGCCGCAAGGUCUCUGUGAAGGUGCUGCAUGGUUGUCGUCAGCUCGUGCCGUGAGGUGUCGGCUUAAGUGCCAUAACGAGCGCAACCCUUAUCUAUAGUUACCAUCAGGCAAUGCUGGGGACUCUAUGGAGACUGCCGUCGUAAGAUGUGAGGAAGGUUGGGAUGACGUCAAAUCAGCACGGCCCUUACGUCCGGGGCUACACACGUGUUACAAUGGGGGGUACAGAAGGCAGCUACACAGCGAUGUGAUGCCAAUCCCAAAAACCUCUCUCAGUUCGGACUGGAGUCUGCAACCCGACUCCACGAAGCUGGAUUCGCUAGUAAUCGCGCAUCAGCCACGGCGCGGUGAAUACGUUCCCGGGCCUUGUACACACCGCCCGUCAAGCCAUGAAAGCCGGGGGUACCUGAAGUGCGUAACCGCGAGGAGCGCCCUAGGGUAAAACUGGUGAUUGGGGCUAAGUCGUAACAAGGUAGCCGUACCGGAAGGUGCGGCUGGAACACCU
rnacentral:rRNA from 2 species